rnacentral:lncRNA from 1 species
CUACAUCUACUUCGCCCGUUGCUCUAACAUCCUCUCUCCUUCUUCUUGCUUCUUUUCUUCCUCUUCUUUCCUUUUUCUUUCGUGCUCUAUCCUCUAUUCUUCUCCCUCUUUUUUUUUGUUAGCCUUUCUUUCUCUUCUUUUGUUCCUCUUUUUCUCUUUUCCGAUUUUUGUCUCUUUUUCUUCCGUUCUCUCUAUCCUUCUAGCUUUUCUUCUUUUUCUUCUCUCAUUCUUCUUUAUUCUUCUCUUCUUUAACUUUUUUUUUCCUAUCUCCGUCUAUUUUCUCUCUGCUUCUUAUUUCUUGUCGAAGCGAGCUUCCCAGUGAGCUUGCCUCCCAACAUCGAACAUCA